GAUGAACGCUGGCGGCGUGCUUAACACAUGCAAGUCGAACGGAAUUCAAAUGUGGAAGUUUUCGGAUGGAAACAUAUGGAUUUAGUGGCGGACGGGUGAGUAACGCGUGGGUAACCUGCCGUAUGCAGGGGGAUAACACUUAGAAAUAGGUGCUAAUACCGCAUAAGCGCACAGUGUCGCAUGACACAGUGUGAAAAGCCGAGACGGUAUACGAUGGACCCGCGUCUGAUUAGCUGGUUGGUGGGGUAGAGGCCUACCAAGGCGACGAUCAGUAGCCGGCCUGAGAGGGUGACCGGCCACAUUGGGACUGAGACACGGCCCAA
rnacentral:rRNA from 1 species